ACGCUCGACACCUACGGGGAGGCAGCAGGUGGGGAAUAUUGCACAAGUGGGGGAAACCCUGAUGCAGCGACGCCGCGUGAAGGAAGAAGUAUCUCGGUAUGUAAACUUCUAUCAGCAGGGAAGAAAAUGACGGUACCUGACUAAGAAGCCCCGGCUAACUACGUGCAAGCAGCCGGCGGUAAUCUGAGCGGGCUGGCAAGGC
rnacentral:rRNA from 1 species